rnacentral:rRNA from 1 species
ACGGAAGGCAGCAGUGGGGAAUAUUGCACAAUGGGCGAAAGCCUGAUGCAGCGACGCCGCGUGAGCGAAGAAGUAUUUCGGUAUGUAAAGCUCUAUCAGCAGGGAAGAUAAUGACGGUACCUGACUAAGAAGCACCGGCUAAAUACGUGCCAGCAGCCGCGGUAAUACGUAUGGUGCAAGCGUUAUCCGGAUUUACUGGGUGUAAAGGGCGCGUAGGCGGGGAUGCAAGUCAGAUGUGAAAUCUAUGGGCUUAACCCAUAAACUGCAUUUGAAACUGUAUCUCUUGAGUGUCGGAGAGGUAGAUGGAAUUCCUAGUGUAGCGGUGAAAUGCGUAGAUAUUAGGAGGAACACCAGUGGCGAAGGCGAUCUACUGGACGAUAACUGACGCUGAGGCGCGAAAGCGUGGGGAGCAAACAGGAUUAGAUACCCUGGUA